UAUUUUGUCUACCUUUUUUAGUCAACAUUGUGUAGCACACGGAUUCAUAUUGGAGUAGUGUUCAUUACAACCUCUACUUUCUUGUCAAAAGUCAUGUUAACAUGAGGGCGAAAACAAAAAAAUACUUUGACGCAAAUGUUCAUCUACAUAUGUUUUUGCUCACUCUUGACUGUCAACCCACUACCACCCCCCCACUGCAUUCACCCAACAGACAGAGGCCUAGUUAGAGAGUGUGUUUUACCAGGAAGCUACUGUGGUCUUCUGAGUAAGAUUGCUUACUUCCUCUCACCUCAUUUGUGCUACUGCUCAGAACUCUGUUCUAUUGGCUGCAGUUGCAAAUAGUAUUAGGGUUAAGUAAAAUAAGUAAAAUAAGCAUUUAUGCACCGAAAGUAACUGUAUGUGUCAGGCACAUAAACCAGGUUAUUUUAGUGCAUGAAUAUGCCUAAUAGUUGUUGAUAAUCACAGAGAGAGAAAAAACAAGACCUGCUGUAUACAUGCACAUAAUCCAAGUACUUGAGAUUGUUAUAACAUGUAAAUAACAUGUAAUAACAUUGUUAAACAUGUUAUAAUAUAUCAAAUGAAUCAAGAACCAGUUCAAAUGUAACACUAUAUUAAAUAUUUUCAGAUAUGUAUAAAAAGAAAGGGGACGAUUAGAAACAGGCACAGCUGCUCAAACAGGAAGUGACCUAAUCGAUUGCCUCUGUGCGCGAACUUAGUUGUAGAGGUUUGCCCUUUAACUUGUAGCUACUGGAUAUAUGUGCUGGGUACUUCCACUUACAUUUCAGGUACCGCUCACUGACAUACAUUAAAAUAGAGAAAAUGCUCUUGGUCAAAACUGAAGUCAGUUUUUUUGGGAUGGUAUUAUGUUAUACCUCUUUUGCUUCAAUGGGCUCCACUAGGCUCUGCGGUGCUCCUUUCAUGCAGCUUUGGGUCCACCUCUCUGGGCAUUAGCCCUGGCCAUGGCUGGGUGGUGUGGAACCAGGGCUCUGGUUCUGGUGCCAGCCUGGUCAACAUCACAUCCUCUGGGAAGGUGGACUUUCUGGACCCCAGGCAGGGCAGAGUGAAGGCUUUCCCCAAUCAGGGAGGUCUGGGGAACUUCUCCAUCCUAAUCGAUGCCCUUCAGGCCUCAGACUUGGGCUCCUACUGUUGUGAGCUGCAGAGUCAUGACCAGUGCCAUCGAGUGGAAGUUGAGGAACUUGAAGAAGGUUCACACAUCGUGUUGUUUUUCAGCGUCGGCAGUUUGGCCAUCCUCCUAGUGCUCCUAAGUGGCUGUUUCUGCUGGGUGAAAUGGACACGAGUUUCUACUGAAAGAACACCAGACUAUGUCAACACCCAUUUCUGUGCAGGUUGGGCCUCUAUGCUCUUGUUCUAAUCCUCAAUGUUAAUUUUAAUUUUUUGAGAAAGAGAAUGUAUUACUGCUAUGGCAUUUGAGCACCACUUUCAAAUCUGAUUGAAACAUGAAAUUAGUGUAGAAUUCUGUAUAAUAUCACAGGAUCCAGUGCACCUCCUGAGGAUGUUGCAUGUAGUGACAAUGUCGGGAGAGAUGUGGUACAGGAGAGAGGUAAAAGACGUACACACGUAGGCUAAAACAGCAUGUGCUCACACUCAAACACACACACGCGCAUGCACGUGCACACACACACAGUGUUUUAUUAUGUCUAUGUGGUUAAGAUUCUUCAACAUUACAGCAUCACUCUAUAUUUACUAAACAAGACCACAGUACAAAGUCAUUUUGCAUUUGCAGACUGAUGCUCACAUCUGGUUUUUGUCUUAAUUUAGGAGUCGGCAAUGAGCGACCGAUCUAUGAAAACAAUGAACAUGAUCCGACCAGAAUUCACCAUGAUCCGACCACAAUUCAGCACGAUCCCACCACAAUUCAGCACGAUCUGUCCAGAAUUCAGCAUGAUCCCACCACAAUUCAACAUGAAGCACAAAGAAACCAGCACGAACCAGUUAGAUACAAAAAUAAAUUGAGAGAUUCGAGUGAGAACAGAAGACAGGGGUUUCAUGGAGAACUCAUGAGCAGAUUGCGCCAAUCAAGUCUCGGACAGCGUUACUAUGCAAACCAAGCCGAGAUCAACCAGCAAACCAGAGUUCAGAUGGACAACCACCAAAGAGCAAACGAAGCAAAGACCAACCAGGAUGGCAGAUCCCAAAUGGACAACUGCCAAAGAGGAAGCUUUUGGAGAAAGAAACCCAAAGAGCAAUGUGAAUAUGAAAACCCAAUCUAUAACAGUGUAGUCCAACUCCACAAACUAUAGACGAGGAUGAAGAGGAUACUGGGUCUCAACUCCUUGGUCUCAAUUUUGUUUAGGUUGUAUUUGAUAAUUUUUUGUAAAUAAAGUACAUUACAUUGUCUUGAAAGUGAAACAAAUAUGAAAUAAAGUUAAAUCAUUUUAAAAUUG